GAUGAACGCUGGCGGCGUGCCUAAUACAUGCAAGUCGAGCGAAUGGAUUAAGAGCUUGCUCUUAUGAAGUUAGCGGCGGACGGGUGAGUAACACGUGGGUAACCUGCCCAUAAGACUGGGAUAACUCCGGGAAACCGGGGCUAAUACCGGAUAACAUUUUGAACCGCAUGGUUCGAAAUUGAAAGGCGGCUUCGGCUGUCACUUAUGGAUGGACCCGCGUCGCAUUAGCUAGUUGGUGAGGUAACGGCUCACCAAGGCAACGAUGCGUAGCCGGCCUGAGAGGGGGAGCGGCCACACUGGGACUGAGACACGGCCCAGACCCCGACGGGAGGCAGCAGUAGGGAAUCUUCCGCAAUGGACGAAAGUCUGACGGAGCAACGCCGCGUGAGUGAUGAAGGCUUUCGGGUCGUAAAACUCUGUUGUUAGGGAAGAACAAGUGCUAGUUGAAUAAGCUGGCACCUUGACGGUACCUAACCAGAAAGCCACGGCUAACUACGUGCCAGCCGCCGCAGUAA
rnacentral:rRNA from 1 species